AGUGAACGCUGGCGGUAGGCCUAACACAUGCAAGUCGAACGGCAGCACAGUAAUAGCUUGCUCUUACGGGUGGCGAGUGGCGGACGGGUGAGGAAUACAUCGGAAUCUACUUUUUCGUGGGGGCUAACGUAGGGAAACUUACGCUAAUACCGCAUACGACCUACGGGUGAAAGCAGGGGAUCUUCGGACCUUGCGCGAGUGAAUGAGCCGAUGUCGGAUUAGCUAGUUGGCGGGGUAAAGGCCCACCAAGGCGACGAUCCGUAGCUGGUCUGAGAGGAUGAUCAGCCACACUGGAACUGAGACACGGUCCAGACUCCUACGGGAGGCAGCAGUGGGGAAUAUUGGACAAUGGGCGCAAGCCUGAUCCAGCCAUACCGCGUGGGUGAAGAAGGCCUUCGGGUUGUAAAGCCCUUUUGUUGGGAAAGAAAAGCAGCAGGUUAAUACCCCGCUGUUCUGACGGUACCCAAAGAAUAAGCACCGGCUAACUUCGUG
rnacentral:rRNA from 1 species